CUAUAGCCUCGAGAGGCGUACGUGUUGUAUGUGGUAUUUUGGGGAACUCACUAAGCCUUGUGAUUACAGUGUUUGUGUGAUGUGUUUCAGGUACCAGUGAGGAUCGUGGGAAGUCGCCGACAUGACCAGUACACACUAUUGGAGUUUCAUGUGUUUGAUCUUGGGAUGUGAUUUUAUGGAAUUGUUAUGUGAACAUUGAGAAUUGGAAUCUUUUAUGAAUAAAAUCGCAUUAUUAAAAAGUGAAAAAUUGUUUUAAAUUUUACGAUGUUACAAGUUAGUAUCAGAGCCUUGGUUUGAGGGAUUCGGAUGCACCUUCGGGUGUGUCUGCACUCAAACUGAGGAUUUGAGAAAGUUUAAAUAAAAUAAACAGUUUUUCUAAAGAAGUAUGAGUCGAUACUUGAGCAUUUUGAGGAGGGAUAUCCGUGAGUUCGUGGCGAACUCGUCAUACCGGACAUUUGUCGAGCUCUAGGCAAAUGCCCGUAAGAGGGAGAUUGAGCUGGAGACUCAGGUCAGGGAGGAGGCCGAGUCUCAGAGGAGGGACAGGCGACCGACACAGGCGCAGCCGGCAGCCAAGCGGACAAAGCCCGCUGAUUCGAGAUCUGGGGGUCCGAAGGACCGUACUUGUGGGAAGUGCGGCAAGAGCCAUGAGGGAGUGCUCAGAGCUAGGUUGUGUUACAAGUAUGGGAAGGAGGGACACUAUGCGAGGGAUUGUCCCCAGGGAUUCAUGGUUUGCUUCCAUUGCAACCAGACCGGCCAUCGGAAGGCCGAGUACCUACAGUUCCGGAAGGGAUCGACGUAGGGAUCUGCACCUGCUGCCCGAGUUGUUGAGGCCCGGCCAGUGAAGGCCGAGGCAUCGAAGGCUCCCGGAAGAGCCUUCCAGUUGACAGCGGAAGAGGUCUACACAGCGCCCGAUGUUGUGGCUGGUAUGUAUUCUUUCUUUUAUUUAUGCUGGGUUAUGAGAUGUUGUGCUUAUAUUGCGAUAUUCGUAGGUACUUUUCUUAUGAGUUUUGUACCUGCUUUGGUGUUAUUUGACUCGGGUGCGAGUCGGUCAUUUGUGUCUUUAGCUUUUAGUCGGCACAUCAGUACCCAGCGAGAGGCGUUGAGUCGACCUCUACGAGUUUCUAUAGCCGACGAGCGAGUGGUGUACGCCACUGAUGUGAUUCGAGGUCGUGUGCUCGAGAUUUUCGAUGUUGAGUUUCUGAUUGAUUUGGUCCCGAUUGCGAUGGGAGAUGUUUGUGUCAUAGUGGGCAUGGACUGGUUGAGCAAGUUUGGAGCGGUUAUCGACCGCUAGCGACAACUGGUGACCAUACGAGACCCUAGUGGGGGAGUUCUUACGAUUUAUGGCGAGGGUACCCGUUCUGGGCCAGCAUUCUGUUCGGCUACCAGGGCGAGACAGAGUUUACAGCAGGGCUGCAAUGGGUUUGUUGCCUAUGUGAUGGAUGUGCGAGUGGCCGGCAAGAGGCCAAGUUCGAUUGAUGAUGUUCCGAUAGUGCGCGAAUUCUCGGAUGUUUUUCCCAAGGAGUUUCUAGGUGUGCCGCCCAAGAGGCAAGUUGAGUUCCGCAUCGAUUUGAUUCCGGGGGCAGCGCCUAUCCUCAAUGGGCCUUAUCGUCUUACGCCGCCAGAGAUGCAGGAGUUAUCCUCGCAGCUUCAGGAGUUGCUUGGGAAGGGGUUUAUUAGACCGAGUAGCUCACCGUGGGGAGCGCCGAUCCUUUUUGUCAAGAAAAGGAUGGUUCACACCAGAUGUGCAUUGAUUACCGGGAGUUGAACAAGUUGNAGUUAGUAUCAGAGCCUUGGUUUGAGGGAUUCGGAUGCACCUUCGGGUGUGUCUGCACUCAAACUGAGGAUUUGAGAAAGUUUAAAUAAAAUAAACAGUUUUUCUAAAGAAGUAUGAGUCGAUACUUGAGCAUUUUGAGGAGGGAUAUCCGUGAGUUCGUGGCGAACUCGUCAUACCGGACAUUUGUCGAGC
rnacentral:lncRNA from 1 species